GACGAACGCUGGCGGCGUGCUUAACACAUGCAAGUCGAACGGAAAGGCCCUGCUUUUGUGGGGUGCUCGAGUGGCGAACGGGUGAGUAACCCGUGAGUAACCUUCCCUGGACUUUGGGAUAACUUCAGGAAACUGGUGCUACUACCGGCUAGGAGCUCCUGCUGCAUGGUGGGGGUUGGAAAGUUUCGGCGGUUGGGGAUGGACUCGCGGGUUAUUAGCUUGUUGGUGGGGUAGUGGCUUACCAAGGCUUUGACGGGUAGCCGGACUGAGAGGGUGACCGGCCACAUUGGGACCGAGAGGCGGCACAGACUCCUACGGGAGGCAGGAGGGGGGAAGAUUGCACAAUGGGCGGAAGGCUGGUGCAGCAACGCCGCGGGCGGGAUAACGGCCUUCGGGUUGUAAAACGCUUUCGCCUGUGACGAAGCGUGAGUGACGGUAAUGGGUAAAGAAGCACCGGCUAACUACGUG
rnacentral:rRNA from 1 species